rnacentral:rRNA from 1 species
GGAUUGGCGCAUCGGUCGUGCCUCACGGGGUAUGAACUGGUGCAGUCAAUUUCUCACCUUCUGGAGAACCGCGAUGUCCUUAAUUGGAUGCCUUGGGGAAUCAGGACUGUUACUUUGAAAAAAUUAGAGUGUUUAAAGCAGGCUCACGCUUGAAUACAUUAGCAUGGAAUAAUGAAAUAGGACGUUUGAUUCUAUUUUGUUGGUUUCUAGGAUCGACGUA